AUUGAACGCUAGCGGCAUGCCUUACACAUGCAAGUCGAACGGCAGCGGGGGAGCUUGCUCCCGCCGGCGAGUGGCGAACGGGUGAGUAAUACAUCGGAACGUACCCAGUAGCGGGGGAUAGCCCGGCGAAAGCCGGAUUAAUACCGCAUACACCCUACGGGGGAAAGGGGGGGAUCGCAAGACCUCUCACUAUUGGAGCGGCCGAUGGCUGAUUAGCUAGUUGGUGGGGUAAAGGCCUACCAAGGCGACGAUCAGUAGCUGGUCUGAGAGGACGACCAGCCAAAGUGGGACUGAGACACGGCCCAGACUCCUACGGGAGGCAGCAGUGGGGAAUGUUGGACAAUGGGCGAAAGCCUGAUCCAGCAAUGCCGCGUGUGCGAAGAAGGCCUUCGGGUUGUAAAGCACUUUUGUCAGGGAAGAAAUCGUUUGGGUUAAUACCCCGAGCAGUUGACGGUACCUGAAGAAUAAGCACCGGCUAACUACGUGCCAGCCGCCGCAGUAA
rnacentral:rRNA from 1 species